GAAGAUAUAGCUCAAAUGGUAGAGUGCAUGUCUGGCAUGCAUGAGGUCCUGGGUUCAAUUCCCAGUACCUCCA
rnacentral:tRNA from 1 species